AUGAGUAUAAUCAGUUUAUAGAAGAGAUUAACCAAGUUGAAGGACAUAGUCCAUGUCUAAACUUGUUCAUAAUUUUAAAAAUGGUGACAGGCAUGAAUAGCAGGUAAUUCCAUAUAAAUUAGUACUUGAGCCCCAACAAAGCUGCUUAGAGAAGUUUCCUUUAAUUUUAAUAUAGUGGCUCCCUCAAAUAUUCAGCAUUUAUGGCAUUGCUGACAUUUGUUCAUUACAGAAGUGAUUUUAGCCACUACUAUGAAAAACAGAAUGAGCGAGAAAAUCAAAUACCUUGGGAAAAUCAGGCAAGUAAGAAGAUAGGCAUGGUGGCUCACGCCUGUAAUCCCAGCACUUUGGGAGGCCUAGGUGGGCGGAUCACUUCAGGUCAGGAGUUUGGGACCAGCCUGGCCAACAUGGUGAAAUCCUGUCUCCACCAAAAAUGCGAAAACUUAGCCGGGUGUAAUGGUGGAUGCCCGUCAUCCCAGCUACUUGAGAAGUUGAGGCAGAAGAAUUGCUUAAACCCAGGAGGAGGAGGUUGCAGUGAGCCUAGAUCGCACCACGGCACUCCAGCCUAGGCAAUAGAGCGAGACUCCAUCUCAAAAAAGAAAAAAGAAAGCCAACACUUAGGGAGGCCAAGGCAAGAGGAUCACUUGACCCCAGGAGCGCAAGACCAGCCUGGACGUGGCAAAACCCUGUCUCUACAAAAAAAAAAAAAAAUUGCCGGGUGCAGUAGUACAUGCCUGUGGCCCCAAGCUAUUGAGGAGGCUGAGGCAAGAGGGUCACCUGAUCCCAGAAGGCAGAGGUUGAAGUGAGGUGAAAUUGCACCACUGCAUUUCACCCUGGGUGAAAGAGCAACAUCUUGUCUAAAAGGAAAAAAAAAAAAAAAGAUAGCAACAAAAACAAUGGCUACAUUGUAAUUAGCCUCUCAUUAUAUUAAAAUAUUUAGUUUAUGUCUGCAAUUUUCAUUUUGUUGAUUUUGUAUUUCCAUUUUCACAAUGCUAAUAAAGACAUACCUGAGACUUGGUGAUUUAUACAGGAC
rnacentral:lncRNA from 1 species